UGGGGAAUAUUGCACAAUGGGCGCAAGCCUGAUGCAGCAACGCCGCGUGAGGGAUGACGGCCUUCGGGUUGUAAACCUCUUUUAGCAGGGAAGAAGCGAAAGUGACGGUACCUGCAGAAAAAGUACCGGCUAACUACGUGCCAGCAGCCGCGGUAAUACGUAGGGUGCAAGCGUUGUCCGGAAUUAUUGGGCGUAAAGAGCUCGUAGGCGGUCUGUCGCGUCUGCUGUGAAAUCCCCGAGGCUCAACCUCGGGCCUGCAGUGGGUACGGGCAGACUAGAGUGCGGUAGGGGAGAAUGGAACUCCUGGUGUAGCGGUGGAAUGCGCAGAUAUCAGGAAGAACACCGAUGGCGAAGGCAGUUCUCUGGGCCGUAACUGACGCUGAGGAGCGAAAGCGUGGGGAGCGAACAGGAUUAGAUACCCUGGUAGUCCACGCCGUAAACGUUGGGCGCUAGAUGUGGGGACCAUUCCACGGUUUCCGUGUCGCAGCUAACGCAUUAAGCGCCCCGCCUGGGGAGUACGGCCGCAAGGCUAAAA
rnacentral:rRNA from 1 species